rnacentral:rRNA from 1 species
UAAUACGAAGGGGGCUAGCGUUGUUCGGAUUUACUGGGCGUAAAGCGCACGUAGGCGGAUUGAUUAGUUAGGGGUGAAAUCCCGAGGCUCAACCUCGGAACUGCCUCUAAAACUGUCAAUCUCGAGACCGGAAGAGGUGAGUGGAACUCCUAGUGUAGAGGUGGAAUUCGUAGAUAUUAGGAAGAACACCAGUGGCGAAGGCGGCUCACUGGUCCGGUACUGACGCUGAGGUGCGAAAGCGUGGGGAGCGAACAGGAUUAGAUACCCUGGUAGUCCACGCCGUAAACGAUGAGAGCUAGUCGUUGGGGGAUUUAUUCUUCAGUGACGCAGCUAACGCAUUAAGCUCUCCGCCUGGGGAGUACGGUCGCAAGAUUA